AUUAGCGCCUGACUGAGUGGGGUC
rnacentral:miRNA from 1 species